AGGAACAGGAGACCAGGGCCAGUCAGGUGUAAAGUCUCAGGGAGACCAGGGACAGUCAGGUGUAGAGUCUCAGGUGAGUGUGUUGAGCUUAGUUCAUAUUUUUG